rnacentral:rRNA from 1 species
UACGGAGGGAGCUAGCGUUGUUCGGAUAUACUGGGCGUAAAGCGCACGUAGGCGGCCCCGUAAGUCAGGGGUGAAAUCCCGGAGCUCAACUCCGGAACUGCCCUUGAAACUGCAGUGCUAGAAUCUUGGAGAGGCGAGUGGAAUUCCGAGUGUAGAGGUGAAAUUCGUAGAUAUUCGGAAGAACACCAGUGGCGAAGGCGACUCGCUGGACAAGUAUUGACGCUGAGGUGCGAAAGCGUGGGGAGCAAACAGG